rnacentral:rRNA from 1 species
AUGUUUGAGAAAUUUGGUGAAGUCUUGUAUGAAGCAGGGCAGUACAAGAUAGAAGAAGUGAGCCAAUGGAAAUCAUAUUUAGCGCGGCGACACCACCUAGAGGAGCACGACAAAUGGUGCAGAGUAGUCUACAAGGUUGAAGUUAUUGAUGAUGGCGCAGCAAUAGUGUGUGAGUGUGGUAAUUUUGAACACAUAGGCUUGCUUUGUUGCCACGCAUUAAAGGUAAUAUAUUUUAUCAUCCAUCAAAGUAUAGUAGAUUCUCAUUGA